rnacentral:lncRNA from 1 species
UGAUCCCAGGAGAAAACAUUCUACUCCUCAACAUGGGUCUUGCCUGAUUCAUUUACCAACUAUGACAAGCUCGUGGCACAGAGGAAAAUGGACAUAAGGUAGCGGUAACAGGCUGGCGACUGUGGCUUUUACACAUUGCUUCACACAACCCUGUCCAGGAGUUUUACACACUCACUAAACAAACAGAAGACACCAUCCAAUUCACUGGAGCCCCGUUGGAUAAAUACGGAAAGAAUGUGGGAGCUAUGUCAUGAACCACAAUGGUUUUGUGUUCUGUGUAAUUUGAAGACGAGAUUCCUUUGCUGUGUGUCACCUCCCAUAUUACCACUGUCGCCCAACAUUUCAUAACCAUCAACUCUUUGCCAGUGCCCACAUGCAAAGAUGGGUUUGUAUUAAAAAAUAAAUGAGAACAGCACAUUCUGAUGUGGUGUAGUAUAUCAGCAUUUUCCAUGAAACCUCGUCUCCGGCCUUCCCCUUUUAGGAAACAAAGGACCCGUGACAGAGCCUACUUAUCCCGUUACAGCUCCUGGUGAGAAGGGCGAAGCCAUGUCAGAAAUAAUAGAAAAGGCUUUUUCCUUUGAAAUAUCUAAACGUUCAAAGAUGGGAACAGCCGCAGGGGGGAGAAUACUGUGCUAUGCAAGUUGAUCUGAUUUUGUGGACCAUCCAUUUCCAAUUGGGAAGCUCACUUACUUUCAACUUGAAGCAUCAGAAAACCAGACUUACAGCAGCUUCAGCCUAUAGGGGUUUAUUUUUCUCAUGUAACAAGAAGAACAGAAGUGGACAGAGGCCGAGUUCUCAAGGACUCAGUUUCUUUCUGUCCCACCAACCUUACCAUGUUGGAUUGUCAUCUUUGUGCUUGUUGCCUCAUGAUGGCAAGAUGGCUGCAGCACCUCUGGGACUCACGACUGAUUUUUAAGGUAGGAAGAAGGGGACAGGACUGUACUAGCCAGAUGGCUUCCUUUCAUCUGGAAAGCAAAAGGUUUCCCUGAAUCCUCAGCAGAUUUCUGCUGUCUUCCCAUUGGCCAGAACUGUGUCACAUGGUCACUUUUAAUAGGUUUAAAAAUGAGUUUUUCUUGGGAAUAUUGCUGGCUUGAACUAAAUUGUGGUUCUGUUAGUGCAAAAAAGAGGAGUGGGUGGAGUUUGGUCACAUACCUCACACAGCCGCUCUUCUUAAGAUGCUACUUAGAGGAUGGUAGGGACUGAGAGGAGGAGGCAGAAGGAGCAUAGCGACCUCUUUGGAGAUACUACAGAGCCUAAGUCAAAGCUUGUUCUUGGACCCAGGAAAUAUGUCAAAUCCUUCCAGUGAAUGGUGCCUUUCAGGAUUGGAGACUACUCCCCCAGUUGCUGAUGGUGUGGUCAGCCCUCAGUUUUCAGUCCUCUUUGGGAAUUGCCUUGGAUGAAGAAAGUCACCUCACCCAAGAUCACUCCAACUCCUGGGACCCACAUCCAAUGAUUGGCCAAUAUGGGGACUCAAAGGCCUGGUCCCCCUUCCCCAACUUGAGACUACUCUGAAGGAUCACCCAGCUUCAGAGCUUCCCAUGGUUGAGACUUUUAGACUUCACUGUGGUCCAACCAAUCUCUUCCUAUACACGGUCCUGACUCCUUCACUUCCCUCCCAGCACUUCUUCUGUGUUAAUAUCAAACUUCUGUGCUAAUAACAAACUUCUUCCGUGCUAAUAUCUCUCAGUGUCUCCUUCCCUGGGAACUCAACCCUAGAUUGUUUAUACCAGCAGUGAUCCAAGAAAGAGAUGCCAACAUGAGAUUUUGGAAUUGGAUCACCUACCAUCCAGCUGGCAGUGCAGACCCCAUCAGUGGCAGUAGAAGAAGUACAUAUAGUCCGUAGCACAAGAUAGCAGUGAAAUUGUUAAAACUUUUGCC